rnacentral:rRNA from 1 species
GACGAACGCUGGCGGCGUGCUUAACACAUGCAAGUCGAACGGAAAGGCCCUGCUUUUGUGGGGUGCUCGAGUGGCGAACGGGUGAGUAACACGUGAGUAACCUGCCCUUGACUUUGGGAUAACUUCAGGAAACUGGGGCUAAUACCGGAUAGGAGCUCCUGCUGCAUGGUGGGGGUUGGAAAGUUUCGGCGGUUGGGGAUGGACUCGCGGCUUAUCAGCUUGUUGGUGGGGUAGUGGCUUACCAAGGCUUUGACGGGUAGCCGGCCUGAGAGGGUGACCGGCCACAUUGGGACUGAGAUACGGCCCAGACUCCUACGGGAGGCAGCAGUGGGGAAUAUUGCACAAUGGGCGGAAGCCUGAUGCAGCAACGCCGCGUGCGGGAUGACGGCCUUCGGGUUGUAAACCGCUUUCGCCUGUGACGAAGCGUGAGUGACGGUAAUGGGUAAAGAAGCACCGGCUAACUACGUGCCAGCAGCCGCGGUGAUACGUAGGGUGCGAGCGUUGUCCGGAUUUAUUGGGCGUAAAGGGCUCGUAGGUGGUUGAUCGCGUCGGAAGUGUAAUCUGGGGGCUUAACCCUGAGCGUGCUUUCGAUACGGGUUGACUUGAGGAUUUAGGGGAGAAUGGAAUUCCUGGUGGAGCGGUGGAAUGCGCAGAUAUCAGGAGGAACACCAGUGGCGAAGGCGGUUCUCUGGGCCUUUCCUGACGCUGAGGAGCGAAAGCGUGGGGAGCGAACAGGCUUAGAUACCCUGGUAGUCCACGCUGUAAACGGUGGGUACUAGGUGUGGGGUCCAUUCCACGGGUUCCGUGCCGUAGCUAACGCUUUAAGUACCCCGCCUGGGGAGUACGGCCGCAAGGCUAAAACUCAAAGGAAUUGACGGGGCCCCGCACAAGCGGCGGAGCAUGCGGAUUAAUUCGAUGCAACGCGUAGAACCUUACCUGGGUUUGACAUGGAUCGGGAGUGCUCAGAGAUGGGUGUGCCUCUUUUGGGGUCGGUUCACAGGUGGUGCAUGGCUGUCGUCAGCUCGUGUCGUGAGAUGUUGGGUUAAGUCCCGCAACGAGCGCAACCCUUGUUCACUGUUGCCAGCACGUUAUGGUGGGGACUCAGUGGAGACCGCCGGGGUCAACUCGGAGGAAGGUGGGGAUGACGUCAAGUCAUCAUGCCCCUUAUGUCCAGGGCUUCACGCAUGCUACAAUGGCUGGUACAGAGAGUGGCGAGCCUGUGAGGGUGAGCGAAUCUCGGAAAGCCGGUCUCAGUUCGGAUUGGGGUCUGCAACUCGACCUCAUGAAGUCGGAGUCGCUAGUAAUCGCAGAUCAGCAACGCUGCGGUGAAAAAGUUCCCGGGGCU